ensembl:lncRNA
AUGUAUCCCACAUCCAGAGAAAGAACUGUGGGAGCAGAAACACAGAAGAAAAACAACUGCUUGAUCAUAUGGCUCGAAGGUGAUAGAAUCGGGGAUGUAAACAAUCACUCUAUUGCAAAUGUUAAUAAUAUGGAAAUAGGUCUUGAUCAACGAAAGACACAUGUAAAACCCCAUGCAAUUGUGUGUCAGGUGCGGGGGGGGGGGGGGGGGGGGGGGGGCGUCCUCCCAUCGCUCCCACCCUGGGGACCCUCUGCGUUUGCGAGGAGAAGCAGAGGUGACUUCCUGACGACAGCAGAAGAGGACCGGACCCGAGGCGGAGCCAUCUCCCAACAGCAUCCGGCAAGGCCUGGUCCACAAUGGCGGAAUCUCUCUGGGAGAGUCCAGAUGGAGCUUCUCCCCCGAGCCCCGGGUGAAGCUUUGCACCCCAGCAGGGAGCUCGUGGAUGACGUUUGUCAGUCAGCUCAGCAGAGAAAACGAAGCCUCUGCAGACCCAAGUGGUGGAUCACGAAGGCCCAACGAUGGUUCUCUUUACCUUCCCCCUGCCCCAGCGGCCAACAACCAGAGCCGGGGAGGGGGGUGCCGCCUUCGAGAUCCAAGUCCCUUCAGUCCUGGGGAAGCCCCUCCCCCUCUCCGGGCCUCAGUUACCUUCUCUGCAGAAGUAGAAGGCUGGGCGUGAGGGCUCUAAUGCCACCUCCAUCUCUAAGUCCAAGAGCCAGCUGGGAGCAAACAGCCUCUGCCACUCCCAUCUUCUAGGGCUGGCCUGGAAGACAGAGGACGGAGGUCCACACCUGCCUGGGAGGUCCACACGUGCCUGGGCUCAGUUCUCUCGGGCACACGGAUGUCUUCCUUCCCUGUGCUCCCGCCAGAGAUCCCAGGGACCUCAGGGCCUUCCAUCGGCCAGCUUAGCAGCCCCCGGGUAGAGGGGGAAGACUUGAACACAGACUGGCGUGGCAAAGGGGAGGAGGGUGGGCAGAGCCCUGCUGGCUGGCAGCCCCGAGCAGGAGGACCAGGGCGCUGGCCCAGCACCAGCCUUCUUCCAUCCAUCCCGGCCCAGUGUUGACGCCUGGGCAGCCGCAGAGUCGGCAAAAUGCAGCCUGGCACCGGCUGGGGAUGCUGACCGUGUGCGGGUCACCCAGGCGCAGGCUGAGUUUUUACAGCCUUGAGACUGUUUAGAAAGACUAGCCAGAUCGAAUGUUCCUUAACGCCCCAAACACUUCCUGUCCUGACGCCUCCUACUAGGAGGGCUUCCCCUCUAGGACAGACCAAUUAUCAUAUGAACUCUCCUGGCACAGGCAGGACUGAACACGUGGGACUGAACUCCCCUUUACUGCAGGAGGCAGGGACUGGUCACCGGGGACUGGGCGAGACUGAGCCAGUGAAGAGGAAAGUCUGGGCCCUGAACAAAGAGGAAAAGCGAGUGCUCUGGGGCCCCGGGGGCUUCCAUUCCACUGUGGCACAGGCUGGGGACCAGAGGAGUACGUACAAAGCCACAGAAGAAAUGCCCAGGAGGAGGGAGGGAGGGGGAGAGAGAGAGAGAGAGAGAGAGAGAGAGAGAGGGAGGGAGAGAGACAGAGACAGAGAGAGAGACAGAGAGAGAGAGAGAGAGAGAGAGAGAGAGAGAGAGAGAGAGAGAGACAGAGAGAGAGAGAGAGAGAGAGAGAGGGAGAGAGAGAGGGAGGGAGAGAGACAGAGACAGAGAGAGAGACAGAGAGAGAGAGAGGGAGAGGGAGAGAGAGAGAGAGAGAGAGAGAGA